rnacentral:lncRNA from 1 species
GGGGAGCUUGUGGUUAUGGAAACCUGUACAGUCAAGGGUAUGGAACGAGCACAGCAGCUUUGAGCACUGCACUUUUCAACAAUGGCUUGAGCUGCGGUGCCUGCUACGAGCUCCGGUGCAAUAAUGAUCCUCAAUGGUGCAUUAGUCGAACCAUAACCGUGACAGCCACCAACUUUUGUCCCCCUAACUAUGCUUUAUCUAGUGACAAUGGCGGGUGGUGCAAUCCCCCACGAGAACACUUUGAUUUGGCCGAACCGGCAUUCUUGCAGAUCGCGGAAUAUCGAGCUGGAAUCGUCCCUGUUAUGUUCAGAAGGUGGUGAAUAAAACUCAAUUCAAAUCAUCACACUCUUUAAGGUAUGUUAAACUGUUGGGUGUUUAACCUUUUGCAGGGUGUCAUGUGUGAAGAAAGGAGGCAUCAGGUACACCAUGAAUGGACAUUCGUACUUCAACAUGGUGUUGAUAACCAACGUGGGAGGGGCAGGGGAUAUAACGUCAGUGUCCAUCAAGGGUUCCAAAACAGGAUGGCUACCUAUGUCCAGAAAUUGGGGCCAAAACUGGCAGAGCAAUGCUUACCUUAACGGCCAAAGCCUCUCUUUCAAAGUGACUGCCAGCGAUAGCAGGACUAUGACAAACUACAAUGUAGUGCCCCCUGGUUGGCAAUUCGGACAAACUUUUGAAGGAGGCCAGUUUUAAGACAAUAUUAUAGUGUCCGUCUAAUAUUAAAACUGGAAUUGACAUAUUACUUAUAUAAGGCACAUGAGCGUUUUAUGCCGAGGUAGCAAAGUGGCGCCCGCUGGCUUUAUGUGUGAAAUAGGCGAGCAAGUGCCAUUAGCCUAUAAUAUACACAUUUCCUAUAGUGAACCAAACUAUUAAGUUUGAACUCUAGAGGUGAUAUCCAUAAUGUCUGAAAUUUGAUUGUUGAUGAUUGACCAUGAUAUUUAUGGUUUUCAUUAUUGAAAUACUUUUUUAUUAUAAUUUAUAAAUAAUGAGUCAUUUCUUUUUACAAAUAUUUUCGACAUAUUUUAUGAUUUGUCAGCUAAUAUUAUUAAUCAAAAUUAGAAUGCAAUAUUGAAUCAAGAAUGUAUAAAUGAAUUAUUGAGACAUCAUAUAAGAUAUAAAAGAUGUAUCAUCUUUUUUAGGUUGAGUACUCAUACAAUAAAAUUAAUCUCCUAAUAAAAGAUAGUAUUUCAGUAGUGCAUAUGUUGAAUGGUAACUUUGUUGUGAGGCAAAUAAUUUUGCCCAAGGUGCUAUGUAGCAGAGAGCGGGAGUUGCACAUUUGUCAUACUUUAGGGAGCCAAACCAUGCAAUGGAUUUCAUGGCCAAGAUAGUCAUUGGGGUCGGGACUCCCAAAAUUUUAAUUAGUCCCUCCUUCAAGUUUUUCUAAAUUUUCAAAUAUUUUAAUUGGACUCCUCUAACUUUUCUUUUUUAAUUCUCAUUAAGCCUUCAAAAUUUUUUAAAAUUUUAAUUAGAUUUAGUUAAUUUUUGAAAAUUCGUAUAAAAACUCUCAAAAUUUUAGAAAAUUGAGUUACAUCCCAAAAAACUUAAUGCCAAAGCCCAAAAUCCACCACGGAACCAAUCUACAAAUGAUGAUAUGGACCUAUAGUACAAGCUUGGGAGGCCAGCACAAGGUAUAGGGGCAAUAGAUUUGCAUACAUACUCAUGAGAGUUGUGUCAUGUGAUAACUGGAGCCACAUGUUUUAUCUCACUUUGUAAUUUGCAUAAGAAAACCCGACUGUGAAAGUAGUAAAUAUUACGGGUUUUUUACUGGAAUAGGUUAAAAAAAAUUUAGUAUUGAAAUAGGUCGUCAUAAAGAUUAUUUACGAAAAUAGUACAUUUUUUGUAAUGGCGCCUAUCUCAGAGACGCCAAUGAAUUAAAAAAUAUUAAAUUUUUUUGAAUAAAAUAUUUUUUUAUUUUUUAAAAAAUAUUUAAAUAUAAAUAUGAGUCAAAAUACGGUCAACUGGUCAAAAUACAGAGAAAAUGGGUUUUUGGGUGGCGCCUAUCAGGUAGGCGCCACUAAUUGUGCCUCAUAGGGAGGCGCCAUUAAAAGUGCCUCAUAGGGAGGCGCCAAUGGCAUGGCAUGGCAGCACCGCCUUCUGCCUACCGCUGCACUGCUGCAAAAGCAGCAUAGUGUUGUCCCUUCGACACCAUAAUUUUCCAGCCUAUAAGUAAAUGGUCCCCAAGCCAUUGCAUGGACGGUAGAGAGAAAAAGAAGAGAGAAAAGAGAAGAAGAGAAGAAGAAGAAGAAAGAAAGAAAAAAAAGGUAAUGUAUUAUUUUAGUAAAUAAUUUUGUUUAUAAUUUAAAGUGUUUAAUUAAGAUAUGGUGAAUUUUUUGUUAUUAAUUAUAAAUUAUAAAUUAUUUAUGUUUAGUGUUUAUAGUUUUUGGAUUAGUAUUUUGUAUGAAUAUUGUAAUUUUUUGUAUGAAUAUUGUAAUUAUUUUAUAAUUAAUUUUGUAUUUAUAGUUUUGGAUUAGUAUUUUGUAUGAAUAUUGUCAUUUUUUGUAUGAACAUUGUAAUUUUGUAUGAAUAUUGUAAUUUUUUGUAUGAAUAUUAUAAUAUUGUAAUUUUUUGUAUGAAUAUUGUAAUUAUUUUAUAAUUAAUUUGUUAGUAAUUUAGGAUUAUGUUAUAAAUUUUUGUGUUUGUAAUUAUUUUAAAUUUAAUUUAUUAGUAAUUUAGGAUUAAUCUAUAAAUUGUUGUGUUUAGUUUAGUAUUUGGUGAGUUUAACAUAUAAGUUUAUAAAAAAAUUAAAAAUCAUUUUAUUAAAAGCUUAAUUAUAACUAACUUUUUUAAUCAUAUAGUUGCUGUUAACUCAUUUAAUUUUUAUAUAAUGUAAUUUUAUUUGAUUUUUUAUUUAUUUAACAGUAUUUAUUGAUUUAUUUAAACAAAUUAAAUGAAUUCAUUUUUUUAAUUGUAGAUUUGCAGGAAAUGGGUUAUCUGAUUAAUAAUGAUAAUCACAUAUCAAGUAUUAUUAAUGAGAUGGUAAUAAAAUUUUUAUUUGAUACUCAUGUUAUUUGCUGAAUUAAAUUAUAUUGUAUUAACUAUUUUGCUAAUUUAAUAAUGUCAGGGUCCGUACCGCGUAUUGAGGGGUCGUGUUAAUAGUGUAGGGUUUCUGCCAGAUGAAUGCCUAAUAUCACACUUAGAGUUAGCCGAGUUCGGAUCAGCGGCAUUGAUCCGAACUUUUGAUCUGCGAUACGACUUGAUUUCCGCUUUAGUCGAGCGAUGGUGUCCGGAGACCCACACAUUUCAUUUGCCGUGCGGAGAGUGUACCAUCACUCUAGAGGAUGUUGCAGUACAGCUCGGGCUUCCCAUAGACGGGAAUGUGGUCACGGGCGUAAGUUCAUUCUCUAGGCCGGCUACCCUUUGCUAUGAAUUACUUGGACGCUCGCCAAGUAAGGGGAAAUUUACCAGUUUGAGAUUUUCAUGGCUAAAGGCCAAUUUUGAACAUUUGGCAAGUACUGCCAAUGAAUGGGAGGUGAUGCAGGCCGUUCGAGCUUACAUUAUACACCUUAUAGGUGGUGUACUCAUGCCGGAUGCAAACGCCAGUAAGGUCCACUUGAUGUACUUACCCCUAUUAUCCAAUUUGCAUAACAUACAGUUGCGGGUCUGCAGUUUUAGCCAUGCUGUAUCGCGAACUUUGUCGGAUGACAGAUCCUUCUGCGAUUGACAUAGGCGGAUGCCUCAUACUACUGCAGUCGUGGGCACUUUACCGGAUGCCAUUCUUGGCACCCAUUAGUCACCAAUCAUAUAUAUUUCCAGUCGUUAAUAGGUGAUGAAUUUUUACUCGUUAUAAUAAUUAGUUGACUUUUUUUAUAUUAUAUUAUUCUAACAAUUUGUUUUUGUAGAUGAACUACUAAUCCGGGUAUUGGGAGGUCAUACACGGUUUCGAUAUACCGUAUAAUGAUUGAGAAUCAUGCUGGAGAGGGGGUAAGUUUUUCCAAUAUAAACUUAAUUUUAUUAUUUUAUCUCACUCGACCCGCGUUAUAUAACAAUGUUAUUAACUGUGCAGUUCAUUUGGAUGCCAUAUUCUGUUCCAGAAAUUAUGGCAGUUAUCCCCUCAUCUGUCCACGUCAAACCUAUGGUGCAUUAGCACACCUGUUAUCAAUUUUAACGUAGUGGAGUGGUAUCAUGGUAAUCGAGUACUCCGGCAGUUCGGUUGCAUACAGUAUAUCCCGACACUGCCAGUGCAAUUGGGGGAGAUCCAUGGGAUGAGCAAAAGGGGGAGGUAUAAAGAUAAUUGGGGAGAAGUGUAUGGAGAAUAUAUUACGAUGUGGAACAACCGGUUCGGAAGGAUACCUCAGAUAGAUCGUGCUCGGAAUCUGCAGCCCUCGUCUGAGUACAUACAGUGGUACUGUGAGAUAGGGAAACCAUUUUUGUUUGGUGGGCGUUCGAUGGUAGUCCCUCCGCAUACGACACCAAUUACGCAGCCCCUUCCAGAUCCACAUCAUGCACCAGAGCUAGAGCUAGUGCCAGAGACGGAACUAUAUUCUAGGGAUAGUUCUUAUCAUCCAGAUUUCGGGGGCUCGUAUCCACAUCAGUAUUCCGCUUAUUCCGACCUGUAUCUGCCGUCGUACUCCUCUCCUCCCGGCUCAAGUUCAUUGAUGGAAUUUGAGACAUAUGAUUUUUUAUCUAUGUUUCACAUACCCCAACAUAUGGCUGAGGAGAAUGUUGAUCACCAUAAUCGACCGCAACGUGAGCGUCGAGCUCCACAAAAAUAUACCCCUAGAACCACACCAUCAAACCAUCAAUUUUAGGGGGUUUUGUAAUAUAAACAACAUCAUAUUUAUGUAAUGAAUUUUGUUGGCAUUUUAUUUAUAAGAUGGAGAUAAUUUUUUUGCGUUUGCAAUUUAAAUAGUCAACUGUGUAUUUAUAUAAUGACUUUUUGCCUUUUAUGUAAAUAAAAUUUUAUAGUUUUUUUUUAUUUUGCAAUUUCAAAUUGCUCCAUAACUGUAACAAAUUGUAGACAAAUUUGUGAUUCAAACCAUCAAUUUAUGUAAUGAACUACAUAUCAAUUUCUACCCGAUUGAGAUAAUUGUCCAACAUGAUAGUUUCAGAGCGGGCAUUUACUCUGAUUAUGACCGGCUAAUCUGAAUAUGCCACACAGCUUCCUGUCGGAUUUCUCCCUAAUGUUCAUUUCGUUAUGGAUUCUGGAUGAUUGCGGAUGACCUUUUGGGUUCCUAUGCAACCUUUUGUUUGGGACAAGCUCGAAGGUCGUUGGAGGUAUCUCCGAAGUAGAUAGGUCAGGAAGCACGGAGAACUCAUUUUCCCAUACACGCAACGUGCGUUCGAUGGUGUACACUUCAUCGAUAAAUUGUUCUACAUUGAGCCCAACUUUAGCACAAGCUGCCACGAUAUGUGCACAUGGAUAAUGAAGUGUUUGAAACCUCCUGCAGUCGCACCGUCUGUUUCAGAGAUCAACUCUGUAGGACUUAGGUGGUAUAUCGGGUCGACGACCGAUGGUCUCUGUAACUCGAAAUGUUUCUUUAUGUCGUGAAUAUACUUCUACUGUCAUCGACCUCGCUAUCCAAGGGUUUGCAACCAUUGCAUCCCUAACAUUUAAAAAAAAAACGUGUCCCGCCUCCAUCUGGUUCACUUGUUGCUGACCCAUUCUUGGCAUCAAGGUAGCCAACCUGUAGAACGUAGCCGAGAAGACAAAUGAAAUUAGAAGAUGCUGUGUUUUUAAUAACAUAGCGUUGAUCCCCUCCACCAAGUUUGUGGUCAUUUGACUAUAAUGAAAGCCCUUGUCAAAACUUUGAGCCCAUUGCCACGGCUCCAUGGUACUCAACCACUACUGAAAAGAUGUGUUGGUUUGACCCUCCAUGUCACUCUCAAGUCGAGCCAUUCUUUGGCGAAAAAUGUGUGGCUCUAGUUCAUGCGCUGCAUAUGUAUUAAGAAAAUUUAAGUUACAGUAUUGCUCUAAAACAUUAAAACUUAUAUUGAAAAGAUAAGGUAAUUCUUUACCCAUUCUUACAACUUGUCUCUUCCAGUCUGCAUUCUUAUAAUCUAGCUGAAAGUUAGCCGCGAUGUGCCGAAUGCAGUAAACAGAUCUCUAUGGUACACCGGAACGCCUAAUGGCUGCAAUUAAUCCUUUCCCUCUAUCGGAGAUGAUACAAAUAUUAUUGUUGCUAAUAACAUACCUCCGCAGGUUGGUAAGGAAGAACUCCCACUAUUCCAUGUUCUCCGUAUCGACGAUGGAAAAUGCUAUUGGGAGCACGUUCUUGUUACCGUCUCGAGCAACCGCAAGAAGUAGGAUCUGUGUAUUUUCCAUAUAGCCAGGUUCUAUCUACUUGCACAAACGGUUUGCAGUGGGGAAAUACGCCACACAUUGAUCAAACGUCUAGAACAUCCGAUGGAAAAUUCUUUUUCUCGAUUGUAGUUGGUCAUCCUGCCCGUAAUAAGAUCGUGCUGCAACUCAAUUACAGUCCCCAGCACGUGUUCCCUCAUAUCGAAUAUCCAUCCCUGUAACUCAUUGUACGAUGCAUCGAAAUCUCCGUACAAUUGCUCCAUUGCCAUCUAUUUAGCUAUCCAUGCCUUCCGGUAUGAUACUCGAUACUGGAAUCGUGCUUGUAUUUCGGCAAUCAGUACAAAAAAUUUAAUGGUCGGCAUGUCUUUUUCCAUUGGCAUGAUGCACGUACAGAUAGUUUUGGAGUCAAGUUUUCGAUGGUCUUCUGUCAUAUGUGUUGAAGUGCAGGUGUGAGGCCCAACCAAUUUUCGUAUCUCCCAAAUCUGCGACUUUUGGAUAAAUGCAGCUCGUAUCCGCCAAUUGCAGCCUUCUGUCGACCUCCAACACUCUCCAAUACAUAAUGUUGGUUUAGACACGAUGACUUUGUAAUCUACUGAUAUAUUCAUGCUAUACAGCUUAAUGGAAAAUAUGCAUUCUUCCUUACUUUCAAAUCUCUGGCCCACGAACAACUCCUCUGGAUCAGAAUAUAAGGCCAUUCAGUUAGCAGGUAGUAUUUCAGGGUACUCUGAAAACUCGGUUGCCUGUGCCACAUCGGGAUCUAUUCGAGACACGUGUGCCCCAGGAUUAUUGUGUAUCACAAUACGAUGAAUAUGGUUUCCGAUUGAAGACGCGUUAACGUUUUCAUCCUCAUUCACGCCUUCGUCGUCAAUACCAUCCGGGACCUUGUCCACGUCGAGAUCACUCUCACUAUCAACUUCGUAAUCAACAGGAUCACUACUAUAGUAUACAUCAUCACCAACCACAUCUGUCUCGGCUGCAGAAUUAAGAUUAAUAUCGAUCCCGUGUAAUGGAAUGGGAUCUUCAGUUGAUUGAAUAUCAACAUACGAUACCGGAACCACCAUACACGGCGUUUGAACUCCAUCUUCUUCACCUAAUGGUGUGGGAUCUUCAGUUGCCUCCACACUGGCUAACUCAGCAAAUAACUGAAUCGGUGCAUUUUGGUUGCUCCGAGUCCCACAAUAAAGAGCGACCAUUGUCUCCACGUCUUCAUCGUCUACAAGUUCCAAUUCAGUAAAUUUUAUUGGAUCUAUCGAAACUAGAAACUUGUAGAAAACUUUUGAUAUCCUUCUCUCACAACGUCUAUAAAUUUUUUCACUAAUUUUUUCCUUCAUAUCAUCAAACGAGAUAUUUCUAUUAAAUCUCAUUGCUACUUGUUUGCGACAUUCAAAUAUACAUCCCACGGUUGUUGUCAAAAUUUCUCCAUCGAAAUAAACGCAUACAAAAAACUGAUUCUCCAUCUUCAAUACUAGAUCUGUUAAAAAAAAUUUCAAAUUUCUUAAAACAGUUUCGAAAUGUAAAAAUAUUACAUAAAAUUUUUAAUGCAGAAUUUUUCAUUCAGAAGCUAACAAAAUUAAUAACCUAACAAAAUAACUUUCAAAUAAUAAAAUUACUAACAAGACUCUACAUUCUAUUUAAAAAGAAAUAAACCAAAAUACCUUAUCCUUCUUCUUCUUUUCCUUUCUUUUUUUCUUCUCCCUUCCUUCUUAUUUUCGUUCCUCUGCUAAAAAUUAUGUCUGUGUUACGGGGGUAUAUAUAGGGAAAAAUAAGACUAUUGAUGCCUCUCAAUAUGGCACCACUAAUGGCGCCUAUCAGAUAGGCACCACCAUUGGUGCCUCUGAGAUAGGCGCCACUACUUUGUAUUAUACUGGGUCAUAUACUGACCUGGGAAAAAAUUAAUUAUAUUUUAUUAAAAAAAUUAAUAUAAAAUAUACAUUGACGCUUAUAUAAUAGGCGCCAUUAGAAAAAAAAUUUAAUAUUUUUUAAUUCAUUGGCGCCUUUGAGAUAGGCGCCAUUACAAAAAAUGUACCAUUUUCGUAAAUAAUUUUUUUGACGACCUAUUUCAGUACUAAAAUUUUUUUUAACCUAUUUGAGUAAAAAACCCUAAAUAUUACACUUGAUAUGUUAAAGAGUAGGGCAAAUUACCAAAGAAAAAAGGUGUUACAACUAACCAAUGACUCCGAGGAUCUUGCAGCCAUUUGCUCAUCUCAAACAUAUCAACCGAACUUGUGGUGACUUUUCAAGUUUGUCACAUGACACACUUUAGUAACUAAGAGGAGGUUCGUUUUUUCGCAUUGCUAUUAACAUAGAGUUGUAACCCUUUUUUUUUGGUAAUUUGGCAAACUGUUUAUCAUUCUAAGUGCAAUAUAUGUUAGCUACUUUCAGAGCCAGUUUUUCUUAUUCAACUUACAAAAACAAUAUAACAUAGAAGAGUGCUUAACCACCUUAAUGACUCAUUUAUUUAAUUAUUUUGGAUAAUUAGAUCAAUAAAUAAUUUAACAAUCGAGCAGUGCCAUAGAAAUUUGGCAUUUGUUUUAGUCUUUAAGUUGUCAGUGCUCUGCAAUCUCUCAAUAAAAUGGAUAUAUUAACUCUACUGGUCUACAAAAAAUGUUAAAAAGCGGUCUAUCAAUCAAUUUUCUAUUCUAAAGUCAAUGAUCAGAGGUAAGUAGGGUGGCUUCCAAAUCAUCUUUGCCUGCUGCAGCUAUGGUGAGCUCGUUAGCCCGCUUAGCCUGGUGCUUCCAAUCGGUUCGAACCAAUGUGUACACCAUCAUGCACACACAUGAUAUCUGUGCUGCUAGAAGCCCAAACCAUAGACCCUCGAACCCGAUUUUGAAUGUGAAAGUGGUGAGAAUUGCAACCGGCAAUCCAACAAGGUAAAAAGAACAUAAAUUUAUGCGAACACCAUCUUUGGGACGUGCAGUUCCUGUUAAGACACCACAAGCUGCUGUUUGUGGAGAGUUGCCAACUUCACAUAACCCCAGAAUUGGAAGCACAGUGUAGAUUAAAUCAAGGAUUUGUGGUUCAUCAGUGAACAACCUUCCCCACCAUGAUCUCAGGACUGUCAUCACAGCAAAGGCCGAGAGGCCAAACGCAAAGGCCAUGAGGAGACCGAUGGUGGCGGCCCGAUGGGCACAGGACGGUCGGCCAGCACCCAAAGCCUGACUCACUCUCGUACAAAUGCUGUUGCUUAGUGAGAAUGGGAAAUUAUAUAAUAAGCCUGUUGUUUGAAUAAGGAUGCCCAUUGCUGCAACGCUAGCCUUUGGGUUGUCGAGUAAGCCACAAAGGAACAACAUGAUCUCAUACCACCACCAUUCCAAGCACACCGAAAGGAGGCUAGGCAGUGCUAGCGCUAACAAUGGCCGCCAGCCUUGAAAGACUGACACAAUCGUAACAUCAUGCCAAGGUUUCAAAGGAGUUUCUGACAUCACCAUAUAAAUUAUCAAUCCCAGGUUUAGAUUGAACGUAUUACAAGCAAGCGCUAAUGCAACCCCUUUCACCCCUAACUCAAAAUAUAUUGUGAAAAUGUAGUUGAUCAAAGGGUGGAGGAGGACUGCACAUAUAGCAGCGAUAGUAAGAGGAGUGUUUAUGCCUUGGGCUCUUAGAAAAGUCCUCACUGGAUGGAGAAAUGACUGAGCUAGCAGUUCAGGAAUGAAGGCAACCAAGUAAACCUUGGCGACUUUUGUAGCAUCAGGAUCUUGGCCUAAGCGUAAAAAUAUGGGCUCAACAUUUAGCCAAAGAAUCGAGAUGGGUAUGGAUAUAAGUAGCAAUAGACAUAAUGCUCUAUAGAAAGUUUGGCUGAGGACUGAAUAUCUUCUGGCUCCAUAGGCCUGACCACAGAUGGGAUCCAUCCCAAUGGCGAGGCCUUUGAUGACAGAGAGCCCUGUAAUGUUUCCAAACCCCAUUGCAAGGGAUCCUCCAGCAAGCUCUUCUUUGCCUAAAUGGCUAAGGAAAAGCAUAGAAAUAAUUGAUCUGGAAUGUAUUAGCAAUGUUGUCAUUAUGAUUGGGCCUGCAAUCUUUCCAAUUGACAGCACUUCAUCUCCCACCUGCAUGGAAUUCAAGUCCACUCAUUGGCUAGCUUUUCACAAAUAUUAUGUCCCAUAUUCUCAAAAGAAUUAAGCUUCCUCUCAAAAAUGAAAAGAAAAUGUUUUUUUUUUCUUUUUAAUUUCACAUGGCCAGCUUAGGGAAAUGAGGAAAAGGAAAAGAAAAUUAAAAGAAAUUAAGAACCACUUUUGAACUUUUGGUUAUUAUUAAAAAGUGCAAGUGGCCAAAAAGUGAAGCGAAAAAAAUGAAGUUUUAUUAAGUAUUUUUCUAUUCUAUACAACAAAAUUUCAGUACAUCAACUUUAUUGAAAAGUGAAGUCUUUUAAGGAAAAGGAAAGAUAAAUUCCCUAUAACACAAAUUUUAGACUGUCAAUUAAUUAAAGGGUUCCACUAUACACCUUAUUUUAAUGUUCAAAAUUCUCAGCACAAAAUUACUUGUAUGAAACAAAAAAGCUGGUGUUUUAUAUUCUUAAAAUAAGCUACAAAAUUGAUUCCAAGGAAUUAGCUAUAGGCCCCCAUACCUCCAGGCAUAGCAAACGUUUGUGGUGCUAAAUUUUUAAGUGAGAAUAGUUUCUAAAGAAAUAUAUAACUACACAACAUUUAUAUGUGCAUUUGAAAUUGAGAAUGAAGAAUAUUAUUAUCCAAUUGGCACCCAAGAUUAGCUAUAGAAAGAUAUCCUUUUUUAAAGAAUUUUUUUUAACUAAACCAAUGAAUAUGAAGAAAAUACAAUAUGAAUGCUAAGGGUCAACUCCCGAUUAUCUUAGAAUUUAGGUUAGAAUAUGCUGUUAGUGGUUGUAUUUUUAUAAAAUUUUAGAUUUUUUCUUUUAUUUUUAAUUUUUCAAUUUAAAAAUCCUAGUCUAAUUAUUAUUGUCAUUGGUAUUUUUCGUUGAAACUUAUCAAUCUAACAUGUUUAUAGAAUUAAUAAAUUUUGAUGUUAAAUACUUACUAUUUUAAUGAUUUGAUUGUGAUUUUUAAAUAAAAAAAAGUAAGAGGAGUUCAGUUUUAUCUUUUUUAAGUAAAAACAUUAAAUCUCAAAUUUUAUCAUAGGGGAUAACAUCAUAUUUUAACCUAGAAUUUAUUUAGAAAGGAGAAAAAUGAUAAGAAAAGAAGGGAAUAUUUGCAAAGCUGGUGUGGUCGCUUUGAUUGUACAGUACACUCUCAAAUCAAAAGUCUGAAAAAUGCAAAUGCUGUUUAUAUUGUACGUAAAUGGUUUCUAUAAAAAGGCUAAACAUCUCUUUCAUAUGAAGCCCCAAAAAAGGAAUUCAAACAAAAGUGAUUUUACAGCCAAAAGACAUUCAAAGUUGAACUGAAAAAGAAUAACAACUAAUCUGAAUAGAAAUUAAUUAAAUUCUCACACUAAUCUGAGUAAAAAAAGAAAACAUGGAGAGAGAGAGAGAGAGAGAGAGAGAGAGAGAGAGAGAGAGAGAGAGAGAGAGANNNNNNNNNNNNNNNNNNNNNNNNNNNNNNNNNNNNNNNNNNNNNNNNNNNNNNNNNNNNNNNNNNNNNNNNNNNNNNNNNNNNNNNNNNNNNNNNNNNNAGAGAGAGAGAGAGAGUGGAAGGCUUGCCUGGUUCAGAGGUUCUCUUGUCUCGGUCAAUGGCAACCUGCUGAGUAGUUGUCUGACUUGAAUCUUCCGCAAAAACCCAUGAAUGAAUUUAUCCCCAUCACCUGUUUCCUCAUUGUAGCUCUUCAAAAGCUGGUUCUGGUGAUCACCGUUUAAAGUACUUCCCCGAGAUUCAAGAUCACUUCCUGGGCACAUGUUUGUUUUUACCAAACCUACAAAAUGAAAAAUACCUGAGAACUUAAUCCUCAAACUCAGAACCAACAAGUGAAACGUGAAGAAAAUGCACUCAGUUUUUACAUAUUUUUAUAGGCAAAUGGCAUGCAGAAGUAAGUGUUCACAUAUAUAAAAAUAUAUACCUUGAUAUUCCCAGAUCUUUAACACCUUUCACUGCUCUUAUUUUGUUGUUGGAGUUUGUUCCUGGUUAAGUGGUUAUGGACACUGAAUAUAUAGAGUACUGUCGAUAUACUGCAGAAAACAAGACAAAUACUAAUUAAUCCCUUCAGCUUUAACUUAAAUUAUAUAAUAAUAUAUACAAACGCACACAUACUCUUCUUCGAAACUGAGUUGAUGAAUGAUAUUUCCACUAGCUUCUUCGCUUGAUCCAGGACUAUCUAGUUUAUUGGCUCACUUAUAUAUGCAAUGCCAAUGAGCUUAUGAAGAAAGGAUUCCUUCAACUAAUGCAGAAACAGAGCUAGCUCCAAGUAGGGCACUAUAUCUUUUUCUUUUCUUUAAAUUAAAAAAUACCCUAGCUAGUUUUAUGGUGUAAUCUAUUAAAUAUACAUUAAUAAGCUAUUUUUUGGUCCUUAAUCUCUUUUUUAUUUUCCUAUAUGCAAUUAAUUAAGUUACCUAAUUAGCUUUUCAAGGCUGCGUUAACUUAAUUACUCUUCGUUUAUGUGCUAUCUGUCUGUUUGAGAAGAAGGUCUAUGUCUUAUAUAUAUAUAUAAAGAUUAGUCCGUACAAUUUUUUUUUUUGCAGGUUUGUGAUUAGCUUAUUGGUUUGAUCUUUAUGAAAUAAUUUAAUUAGAUGAAUUAAAUAUAUGGUAUGCUGAGUCGUCAAUUAAAACAUAUAGUUGGUAGAGUGACGAAGUGGGGACUUUUUUUUUUUUUUUUAAGAGUAGUAUUAGGGGAAGACUUCGAAGACUAUAAAAACAAGAUAAUUUCUAAAUUUCGAUAGUGAAGUCAAUAAAUCUCAAAGAGUAACUAUAAUUUUAAUAGAAUUUCACUAGAUUUCACAAUAUAUUUAAUUCGAAUGUGAGGCCAUUUUUUUAGCUGUGCCAAAGAGCAUUGGUAAUUGCUUAGUUAAAAAAUUUUACAUGUUUAAGUUGCUAAAUUUUUGGACUUUGAUUCUUGUUCAUGCUAUAGACGAUUGUAAACCUAUCUAUGAUAUCCAAACUGUUUAUAGUAACAUAUCCUGAAGAUUGAUUUAGAUUUGGAUUUGGAUUAAGAAAAUCAACUUCCCAACUAAAUUGGUAAGAUUGAAUCAAUUUGAGUGAAACAUGGAAAAAUGUCUUGAAGAUUCAAAACUUAUCCUGAGUUCAUUAAGAUAUUUUUUUAUGCUUAUUAUCCUGAUGGUUUUACGGGAAGGUUGAUUGUAAUUGAUAUAACAUGUUAGCAAGUGUCAAAUCCUCAUAAAUUUAGGAGACUUGUAUAGGUGAUAUACUGAUCUAAUAACACUUAUUUUUGUUCAUUAAUGAACAUUUUUUGUGAGUGCAUUGAAUGCAAAAUCAAGUGAGUUACUUAGUUUAUGUCUUAAGUUUUCAGGGGAAAAAUCAUGGGACAGUUGUCUAGAUCUUAGGUACAAAAAUGAUGAAUCUAAUAUGGUGUGUGUUAGAGGUUGAAAUCACUUGUUGUGUGAGUUGCUAAGAUAGCAUAUUAUCUCUCUAGACAAAAUCUCGCAAACGUAGGGAAACUGAAUUGCUCAAACAUAUAAUUUGUUCUUUCUUUUUUGUUUUGUUUAUCACUAGUGCUUAAAGUAGUUGGUGUUGGUCUUAAGCACUGUUUUUUGCACUUCUUAAGUUUGCUUUCAAAUAUUGAUUUAGUCCUUCAAUUGGUAUCAGAGCCUACAACUUAACACAUUUUCUGGAUUUCCUGGUGUUGAUAUUUGCCUAAAAUGGAAGGUUCAUUAAUUUCUUGACCCCCUAUGCUCAAUGGUGCAAACUAUGACUGUUGGAAGACAAGAAUACAAAUUUCAUAAAGUCUUUAAUGCCCUUAACUCGAUCCGAUUCACUGGAUCCGUAUCUCAGGUGUUACCACUCUAACAGAAACUUAUACUUAACCAAAGUAUACAACUUUCAACAAUACAUCUUAUUUAGAAACGUUGCCCAACUAAUUUAUGUCUAGGCGUACAAAGUGUACUUACAACCAUUAGGUAAGACUUUUCACUUGAUCAGGACUUACAAGUACAUAUAUCCCACUUAUUUACAUUACUCCACUUAUUUUACCUCUAAACAGUAUUACUGGUAGCGUUUAUAAUACUAACACAUUCUGUACACGCCGCAAGGCUUAUUGACAAUUUUCAUAACUUAUUCACAAUAUUUCUAUUAGACUUGAAUACACUGCUCCCCUUGCUCUGUAUCCAUAACAACCCAUUUCGCCACUCUUUUGGCAUAGCCCUGGCGUUGUCCCUCUUGGCGUAGCCCUUAAUCUGCUUACAUGUGACAAGAAGACACAGAGGUAAGUUCGAUAGAACUUAGUGAGUAAAGCCUAAUUGACCUGAAUCUUAUUCGAGAAUAUCAUCUCAUUGCUCUUAUUCUUCAACUUGACUCUGACGAAAAUGUCCAUUGGAUUCUAUUCAUUUUACUGUAGGUGUCAAAUUUCAUUCUGAGAUCAUAACAUGCAUUACCUAUCAUCGUUACCAUAAUUGCAUUCUUCACUUGUUCUUUUGUGAUUUCUCAAUUAUUUCUGUUACAAAGGGCCUUACAGACAAAAUAACUUUUGUUUGCCACUCACGCUAGUUCAUUCUCAUUUCAUUUUUCUUACCAUGUUACUAUAUUGGGUUCACCACAACACCUCUUACGGAGCCUUUCUUUCAGAUUUCGCUAUACUCACCAUACCUUUAAAAGACUUCGUACAUCAUUUAUUAGAGUUUGCCAUAGGUUCCAUUCUUUUCAUUCAGAGUUUUCUAUAAAGGCUUUCUUUUUUAGAGAUAGCCUCAAGGGCUUCCUUAUCCAAAAAUUGCCACAAAGACAUCAUUUUCAUGAAGUACUUCCACAAAAGCUUUCUUUUCAGAGCCUUGCCACAAAGGUGUCCUUUAAAAUAUUAGCCACAAAAGCUUACCCUUUCGAAGUUUUCUCACAAAGGUAUACUUUGAAUCCAGUACUCGCCACAAAGGCUUUCCUAUCUAGAAUUGUGCCAAAAAGGCAUUCCUUAAUAUUCAAUACUUGCCAUAAAGGUUUUCUUGUCCAGAGUUGUGCCAUAAAGGCUUUUCUCAAUAUCCAAUACUCCCCACAAAGGCUUACCUAUCUAGAGUUAUGUCGUAAAGACAUUCUUUAAUAUCCAAUACUCGCUACAAAGGCUUUCCUAACCAGUGUUGUGCCACAAAGGCAUUCCUUAAUAUCUAGUACUCGCCACAAAGGCUUUCCUGUCCAGAGUUGUGCCACAAAGGCAUUCCGUAAUAUCCAGUACUUGCCACAAAGGCUUUCCUGUCCAUAGUUGUGCCAUAAAGGUAUUCCUUAAUAUCCAGUACUCACCACAAAGGCUUUACUAUCCAGAGUUGUGUCACAAAGGUAUUCUUUAAUAUCUAGUACUCGCCACAAAGGCUUUCUUGUCCAGAGUUGCUCCACAAAGGCAUUCCUUAAUAUCCAGAACUCGCCACCAAGGCUUUCCCAUCCAGAGUUUUUCCACAAGGCUUUUCCUUUCCUAGUGAUUUAGACGAUAGGGAUUUGCUUAGACUCACACUUAGUAAGGUUUGCCCUUCAUCGUCUUGGCACACACAAGGGACCACAUUAAGUAAUAGCUUUUUUUAAAUUCUUGUAUAUGAUGCCAUAACGCACCAGUUAUGGUCUUACACAAUAUAAUCUUUCUUCCAUAUGAUGCCAUAAACCACCAGUUAUGGUCUUACACGAUAUCGUCCUUCAGUGCCAUGGCUAUGGACUUGUCUUUUUAGAGAUUCAUGUUUUUAGUCUCAACGAACCCUUUUGAUGAUUCCAGAGAUAGGCAUAGACUCAUCAUGCAUCGACUCACUCAUGAUAGACACUUUUAUGCUUACCAGACACAUUUCUUAACAUAUUUUCAUGACACGUACACUUACAUAACCAUUACUUAUUAAUCUUCAGACUCAUGUCCUAAGCUUUUAACCUUCAAGAAACAUGUUUUCCAUACAUGCAAGUUCAUAGGUCUUUACUCUUCAUGCUUUAGGUCGCUUAGCACAAAAAUAUGUUGAAGGCAUGCAAUGCAUAUAAGAGUUAGUUUACUGACUCACAUAACUUUCAUGAAUAGCAGCUUGAUCCCAAAGUUUGUACAUCCAUUUGUGAACCCUUAUAAGUCACACGGGUGAAAUACAACCUCAUUCAUGAACUCUGGUCUGUAGUUUUAUGAUAUUAAGAAAUUUCUGAUUAGCCUCUAGAGCAAGGCAACAAUAGUUUUAUUUUCAAGAAGGGAGGAGAUAACAUACUUUCCUUCUAAACUAAGUUGCAAUAUUUUGUAAAGAAAACCCAUGCUCUCUUAGAAGAACUUAACACGUGUCAUUAACUUUCAAGGCUACUCUUAUUGGUGGCUUACAACUGUAGAGAAGGGUAUUCUAAAAUCCAAAAUCUUUUCAUAUCUUUGAUUUGACCCGUUGUUCUAACCUAACUAUUUUGUUAAUACGUAACUUAUAUGUAAACUAGACAAAGUAGGCAUACCUUAACUUAUGCGAGGUCUCUUACAACCUAAGAAUUCUUUAAUAUCCUUGCCAACCUUUCCUUCUAUGCAUACACACUCUUCUGGAAAGACAUACCUCACUUUAAAUUAUGUUGUUAUCUAUGUGCCCUAUGAGCGCGUUAGAGAUAAAAAUUGAGUGGAUAGGAUCGCACUAAUCAGAUUUCCUUUGGGCUACUCGCCCAGACUUAGGACCUGCCAAGUCUAGGUGUUACAAAGUCAUUUGAUGAAAAAUCUUGGAAAGUAGUUCUAUUUGGAUGGGAGUAUCCUUUCACUAAAGUUGAUGGAAUCAAGAUGCCUAAGUCUAACUUGAAUUGGACAAUUAAAGAGAAGAAGCUUGCCAAUGCUAACUUAAAGGCUCUCUAUGUAAUUUUUUUGUGGGAUAGAUGCUCAAGAGUUCAAAAGAAUCUCCAAAUGCACUAUUGCCAAGGAAGCCUGGGAUAUCCUUAAAGCAGCUCAUAAAGGCACUAAUAUUGUGAACCAAUCGAAGCUACAAAUGCUCACAACUAACCUUGAAACUAGAAGAUGUAAGAGAAUGAUACAAUUGAAGAGUUUUAUGUAAAACUCUACAAUAUAAAUCCAAUUAGGCUUUUGCCUUGGAGAUGAGUACUCAAAUUCAAAACUGGUCAGAAAGAUUCUCCAAUCCUGGCCUGAAAGAUUCAUUAUCAAAGUAAUAGAUAUUGAGGAGGCAAAAGACAUUGAUAUAAUGCAUAUUAACGAGCUGAUUAGAUUAACAAACCUUUGAGAUUGAUCUAGAUGAAACAAAUAGGAUCAAGAACAAAGAAGAAAAGAGCAUUGCCUUACAAGUAAUAGAAGCAGUACCCAUUAAUCACAACACUGCUAUAGAAAAGCUGUAGGGACAGGUAGUGUUUGAUCUACCGUAAUUCAGUCUAGUAGAUUAAACUAGUUUUCGCACUUUAGGAGUUUGAACAUAAACAUUUUACUUAUGUUUUAAUUACAUUUCAACAAGUUUAGUUAAGUGUAAUAAAAUGUUUUAUUCGAGUCUUUUAUUAACCUUAGAGGCCGAAUGAGGCCUAAGGGGGAGCUAAUAUACUUUGUGAGUGUGCAUGAGACCAUUAGAACGCUUAUUAACUCAACAUUGGUCGCUAGGUUGCAACACGGAGCAAGUGAUGCCAUAACAUAGGGAGUAGGAUAAGAAAUGUUUAAGAAUACCUUUAAUUUCACAACACAGCCUGAGGAUAUCAUGACAUAUCCCUGAAGACACCCUGAAGUUGAGCAUACUACUUUUGAUGUCGUGACACAAGACCUGGUGUGUUGCGACAUCCCCUCUGCACGGGAAAUUAAUAUGAUCCAGAGACGUUUAGGUCUACACAAUCCAACUUUAAGCUAAGAAACGUCAGCGGACCUAGGGUUAAGGACGAUGACCAUCCUAAGUCUAUAAUUAGGCUUAGCUAACACAUGUUAUUUAUACAUUUUUCUAUUAUAUAAUUUUCAUUUUAGUUUUAUUCUUUAGUUUUUCCUUUAUCUUAGGUUUUAGACUUUAUUUUCAUUCUUGUUAUUUACUUUCGGGAAGAAAUCAGAUUCUAAAGUUAUUCUCAAACUCUAUGAGGAUUCUAAGUUUCUUGUUUAUUCUUUCAUUCAAGUUUGUAGGAUUUAUAAGAUCCAGAAGGUAUGAAUAAUUAACUAUUUUGUAGGGAUUCCUUAGUGUAUCAGCUGUCCAAGAAUGGAAGAACCUAAACCUUAGGCAUGAAAACCUUAGGAAUUAACCCAAAAUUGGUAUGGCCUAUCCGUGAACACCUUAACCCUAAACUGAUCUAGACAGUGAGGCCAGAAGAUAAGUAAUCAUUUUCGGCUGAGUAUUUUAGUGGACGUACCGGAAGAUCCUUAUAGGGUAUUGAGUAGUUGAUUGAACAAAAAAGCCCGAGACAAAAGUUGAUUAUGAUUACCAAAGCGAGCUAAUCACCUAUGUCCAAAUUUGAUAUUUACUGUCUUAUUUGAUUUCUUGUUUUCCAUUCAUUUAGUUACUUUUAUUUCUUUUAUUAUUAUUUUAUUAUAAUCCAAAAAAAUCCUCUUUUAUCUCUUCAUACUAUAAAUUGGUUAGAGUAUUAAUUAGAUCUAUUUAUGUUUAAGCUAAGAUUAAUUUAUAUACUUGCCAUCUUUGGGUAUGACCCUCGGGGUACUCACCUACUCCACUGUAACUAUAUUACAACCUAACACAUAUACUUGCGAAUACUGUUUUUUCAUUUCUUUUUUGUAGGAUUUUUACUUUGGACAUUGGUAUGUCCGGAGGCGGUCUAGUUGUUGGUGCUAUUGUAGGGGAGGCAAUGUCACUAUAUUAGUUUUAGUUUUUGCAUUUUAAUAGAAUAAGUAGGAAAUUUUUAGGUUAUAGUUACAAAUUUAAUUUUCUUUUCUACUAAUUCUAUCUUUUUGGGUUCAUAUAUGACUCGUAGUAAGAGGACACCUAUAGAGCUAGCCACUGAUCUAGAAAGAAUUAUCCGAAAGAAUCGUUGAUAGCAACAGUAGCAAUAGAUGCAGAACCCACCACCUGCUGUAGGAAACGUACCUCGUGAAACUCUGCUAUUUGAAAAAGCCAAUGUUAGCCAACCAAACUUACCACCACCACCACCACAAUUACCCGUAAAUCUAAGCAUGCCAUGUAACGAGAGGACUUUAAGACAAUAUGCACUUUAAAAUCUAGAUAUGGUUCAAAGGAGAAUAACGAGGCUAGCUAUCAUGACAAAUAAUUUCAAGAUUAAGCCAGCUAUGAUCUAGAAUAAUUUGUAGUUUUGCAGAACACUGACAGAGGAUCUGAGUCGGUAUUUAAAACUAUUCCUCCAGAUUUGUGAUACCUUCAAAUACAAAAGGGUCACUGAUGACGCUAUUCGUCUUUGGUUGUUCCCCUUUUCAUUAAUCGAUAACUCCUUUUCCUGGCUAGAUUGCCAGGCACGAGGAUCAAUCACGACAUGGGAUGAAAUUGUAGGGAAAUUCCUACAAAAUUUCUUCCCUAUCAGCAAAAUGGUUUAGAUAAGAAGGGAAAUUUUGAUGUUCAAGAAAUUAGAAGGAGAAAGCCUUCAUAAAGCAUGUGAGUGUUUCAAGAUGCUGAUUCAGAAGUGCCCACACCAUGAAUAACCUAAAUGGUUAUGACAACAAACUUUUUAUAAUGGGUUUUAUAUGCAUUCGAGGUCAGGAUUAGAUGGAGCAGUAAGAGGAGCCUUGAUGAACAGAACGUACGAGGAUGCGUACGAAUUAAUAGAGAGUACGGCAAUGAACUCUUGCUAGUGUCCAAUUGAAGAUCAUACAUAUGACCAAAGACUAUCUACAGUGAAGGUUGUCCAAGAAGAUGACAAAUAACAACAAUUAUUGGACAAAAUCAGCUGAAUAGAGGUUAAAAAUGGUAUAUCAAAUAUCUAUGGAGGAACCGCUCUUCCCCUAUAUUAAUAAUCAUACCGAGGAUGUGAACUACAUUGAAAAUAGGGGUAGAAACCCCUAUUCAAAUACAUACAAUCCCGAAUGGAGAGAUCACUCGAACCUGAGAUGGGGAGGAAACCAAGGAGGAGGUAAUAACUUGAAUCAAGUUAAAAACAAUAAUUUUCAACCUCCCUAUUUGUAGAAACCUCAGGAUAGGGCAAACUGUAGUGACCAUAUUGUAUGUAGUCAACAUUUGGAUAGAAUCGAGGAGGAGAUGUAGUCAAUAAGGAUGGACAUAAAGUAAGUGUAGGCUAAGUGCACCAACUUAACAAGAACAUUGACUAAACUUGAAGAUCAAAUGAGACAAUUGAUGAGCAUGAUGGGUGACAUCAAAAGACAAAUUGACAUAGAUAUUCUUAGCAAUACAAAAAAUAAUCCUCGUAGGGAAGGGAAGGAGAACGUGAAAGCAAAAGUGCUCUGAUUAGGCAAAGUAUUGAGUAGCCCAGAAAAUCCUACUCAUGAGGUAAAUAUGGAGAAUACUGAUGAUAUUCAAGAAAGACCCUUAGUGGCUAAAGAUGAAUCAAAUACAGAGGAGGUAAUUACACCUACAGUUGAGUAAAAAAAAACUAAAGAUUUUGCCGUUGUAAAGAUACCAUUCCCUUUCAAGACUAGAAAAAAGUAAAAGUGGGAUGAGGACGAAUUUGUAAGGUUCCUGAACUUGUUCAAAAUGUUAAAUGUUAACUUGCCUUUAAUUGAAUUAAUUGAGAAAGUUCCUAAAUACACCAAGUUUUUAAAGGAAAUUAUGUCUAAACAUACAAAAAUUAAGGUAGACAAAUAGGUUAAUAUAAGUGUUUCUUGUAUUAUGGUUAUCUCAAGACAAGUUCCCCAAAAACUAAAAGACCUAAGAAGUUUUAAUAUUCCCAUAGAGAUAGGGAGCAUUCGUUUUAAUAGAGCUCUAUGUAACCUAGGAGCUACUAUUAAUUUAAUGCCUCUAUCCAUUUUUGAAAAACUCGGGUUAAGGGACCUCAAAAAAUACCCAGAUAACAAUGCAACUGGCCGAUAAAUCUUCAGUACAUCCAAAAGGAGUACUAGAAGAUGUGUUAGUCAAAGUGCACAGCUUUAUUAUCCUAGUAGAUUUUGAAGAAGAUUGAAAGAUACUGAUCUUACUAGGUAGACCUUUUCUAGCCACCUUUAGGUCCACCAUUGAUUUAGAAGAAAAUGAAUUGACCAUGAAAAUUAAUGGUGAGAUUGAAUCUUUUGAAUGUGGUCAUCAACCAAGCUAGGAAAGUUGGAUGAAAUUAGGGGUGCAGUGCAAGGAAUUAUUUGUUUCUAACACUCCUAAGUCGAGGGACAUAAUUCCUUUAAUGCAUGCAGGUCUAAAAAAUAGGUUUAAGGAAAGGAAUAAAUAGGAAAAGAUGGAAUGACAGGACAGAUAAUGGGCUAAUACUAAUAGAAUUGAAUAAUCGUCCACCUGUGAAUUAAUGAUACUGUCGAAUGAAUACAUAGUAAGACUUAAAUUAUUUGAAUUGAUGUUUAAAUUUUGUAAAUUAUUGUAUUUUUAGCUAAAUUUUUAGCAUAGAUUUUAAUUUUCAUUAACUUUAUGUUUUAUAGAAACUGUAACACUUUAUAAAUUGGAAUUUUGGAAGAAACCAGAGCCAGUGUCGCAACACAGUAGCCCCGUGUUGCAACACCAAAGGCAAAAUCGAUGAAAUUUAGGAAAUCAUUUUGAGGUCGCGACAUGGACUUUGUGUGUCGCGACAUCGAACCCAGUGUACUCAAGAAUCCAAAAGACUAGAAUGUAUCGCGGCAUCGACCUCAAUACCACAACAACGGUAAUUUGACAGUUGAUUAUGAUUACCAAAGCAAGCUAACCACCCUUGUCCAAAUUUGAUAUUUACUUCCUUAUUUGGUUUCUUGCUUUCCAUUCAUUUAGUUCAUUUUAUUAUUCUUUUAUUAUAAUCCAAGAACUCCUCUUUUAUCUCUUCGAACUAUAAACUGAUUAGAGUAUUAAUUAGAUCUAUUUAUGUUUAAGUUAAGAUUAAUUUAAAUACUUGCCUCCCUUGGGUAUGAUCUUCGGGGUACUCAUCUACUCUAUUGUAACUAUAUUACAACUUGACCUGUAUACUUGUGGAUACCAUUUUUCCAUAUAUUUUGUGCAAGAUCUUUACUCUGGAUGUUGGUACGUCCAGAGGUGGUCAAGUUGUUGACUUGAAACUUCCAUAAGGCUUUUAAAUAAAGCAUUUUAUAAGAAACCAAAAGUUUGAAACUUUUAGGAAUACAAAAAAAUAAA